CUGGAAGUGAUGCAGAUAUAUUGUGUGAAGUUUUCUGAUGAUUCUUUCUAUUCAUACUGUCUGAUCCAG